rnacentral:misc_RNA from 1 species
GAUGAAGAACGUAGCGAAAUGCGAUACGUGAUGUGAAUUGCAGAAUCCCGUGAAUCAUCGAAUCUUUGAACGCAUGUUGCGCCCGAGGCUUGUCCCGAGGGCACGCCUGCCUGAGCGUCAAGCGACCCAAACUCGGUGUCCCAGCCCUUUGGGGUCGGGCGCCGCAUUUGGCCGUCCGUGGUGAAGUACUUCGCCCGGUCGGCUUAAUUGGAUGCGUUCGGUACCGCUGCCAGGGUGCUCCUUGUUCCGCCGACUCGGAGCCUCCUGGUCAGUGUGCCUGCGCUUGAUGGCGACAAACUUGACGAGCAAUGACCUCAGGUCAGGCGAGACUACCCGCUGAGUUUAAGCAUAUCAAUAAGCGGAGGA